UAUCCCUGGUCUGAAAUUUCAUCAUUAGAGUUACCAGUUGAUGAGAUAAUAAGGCAAUAGGAGGGGCAGCGAUUUUAGAAAUGAAUGCUAAUACACAUAUCCAUGUACACACAAUACAAAAACUCAUUUAUCUCACCAAAAGGAUGUUUAUUCUCCAGACACUGCCAAUUUUCUUAGCCCAGUUUGGUCUUUUAUGAUGAGAUUACUCUCUGGAUUCCCAGCUAGGAACUGCUUGCACAAUGCCAUUACAUUACGUAGUUGCUUGUUGACUGAGUGAAUGAAUGAGAGGAUGAGAUACAGACAAGUUCAGUUCCACUGUGGAGCAGGAAAAAUGGUUUGUGAAUCCUUAAGGAGCCAGAAAAAGCAUGAAAAAAAAAAAAAAGGUAGAAGUAAAGAGGUGAAGGUAUGGAGGAGAAAGACCCCACUGCUCCUACCUGGUACUGAAUUUACCCAAAUGGGAUAUCCUAGGAGAGUUUCUGGGCAGAAGAGGAUUGAAUAGGGAAUCUCAGGUACAUGUAGUAGAUAAUUUCACAUUGAUAUUUGGGUAUUUAACUCAGUGAUUUUUAACUUUUAACCUUGGCUACACAUUAGAAUCUCUGGGAAUAGAACCUAGACAUCGGUAUUUUUAAGUUUCCCAGAUUAUUCUGAUUUGAAUAAGUUGAGAUACACUGAGUCAUUUUUCUAUGAUAGACUGUUUUUGCAGUUUAAAGACAAUGUUAUCCCUAGAGAAGAAACUGUAGGUUCUAGAUCAAUAGUUCGCAAACUUUGUUACAUAUUAGAAUUACCUGGAAAGUUAUUAACAAUCCCAACAUUCUUGCCACACCCCAUACCAACUAAAUGUGAAGGUGGGAGCCAGGCAUGGGUAUUUCUAAAGGAUCACCCUUUGUUCUAAUAUACAGCAAAGUUUGGGAGCCAAUGACCCUAGACGGUUAAUUUAAAGAACUGGGGAUAUUUAUAUUGCUUUAGUACUCACAAGCAGUUAACUAUAAAACUUGCAAUUUUACAUAAGAAAGAAAUGUACUCAUUAUUGAUAUCUGAAGACCUGUUUUUCUCUGAACAAGGACCUAUAACAGAGAUUAUUGGAUAUAUAGGAUAUAUUUGGCAUGCACACUUUUUUUCUAAGACCUCCACACCAGAAAGUUAUUUUUUCAGGAUGCCAUUUUUACCAUAAAUAUAAGCUUUGGUGAAAGGUAUGUUUGAAAAAUAAGGAAGAGUACAUGAAAUGCAUAUAAUAUUUUAGAGUGGUUUAUAAAUUGCAGUUAUUACAAAGAUCAUCAUUUAGUUUGCACUAGCCCAGAAUUUGCUCACUUGACAAUAAUUCAUAAUAGUAAUUUGGAUUUGAGAUAAGGAAUCAAAAAUUUAAUUCCCCCUUUCUAGUGCACUUUUCAUGUAAAAAGUAUCAACUAUCAUCUGACUUCUCAGAAAUAUGGACAAAUAAUCCUUCUUGCCAUGCUCAUAAAGAGUUAUUGUUAAGAUUAAUUACUUAAUGAUUAUUAAACUAGGUAGGUGAGUAUUAAGAGUUAUUUUUCUCCUCAGAAGAAUUAGCAGACAUAUUUUGCUUGAGGCAAUUACUGUAUUAUCUUGUUUUUCUGAAGUGAGACCUUCCAUUUUGUUUUAAUUGUUUUUUAUUUCCUUCAAUAAUUCAGGGAGGAGAAGGGGGAGACUUAUCAAAGAAGUCUCUGGAGAAUAAACUCUAAAAAUGUAAUUAAUAAUGUUAAGCAUUCUAAAAUCCUUGAAUUGAAUAUACCAAAGAGAAAGAUCUGUCACCUAUCUUUCUAUCAUCUACUAAUUGAUCGAUCAAUCAUUUGUCUAUUUUUCCUAUCUAUCUAGGAUAGCCACUCCCAAUUUUAGCCAAAGGGAGGUAUAAAAACCAGAGGAGUGUUACUAAUAUAGCUAAUACAACACCAAAUAUAAAAUCAAAGUCAUUGCUUUGACCAAGAUAACCUUGUUGUUCUCAGCUUCACUAAGCUUUAGACAGAUUUUUUUUCUUGGCUAUGGGUCUCUGACCUCCAGUUUCUUAGAGAAUUUACUUCAGAAAUCUUGCAAUUGUAAAUUCUUUCUCUCCCCCUUUGAAAUGUAUAUAAACUUUGAGGUCUUUUGUUAGUUUUACUACCCAGGAGAUGCCUUUCUCAAGGACCUGGGAACUAUCACUUUGAAAUUAAACAUUAAAAGAGAUAGGGCCUCUAUCUUUCAGUCUCUGUGGGAAGGUAGGAGCCUAACUUCUUUGAAAGCAGAUUACCAAACACAGAUGGCCUAAUCCCAGAAGAAAACAUUGCAAACUCAAGAAUAACUAUGUGCUCAACACAUCCCACGAGUCAACCCUCUUCAUUGGCCUCCAGUACUUUUCCACAAGCUCCCCUCAGCACUUCAAAUCCCUCACGUCUUUUGUUUAGGGGAAUUGAUUUCAGUUUCUCUUCUCUAAUACAAUAGCCUUGAAUAAAGUCUAUCAUGACUGUUGAACUUUGUUCAGUGCAAUAUUUACUUUCAGAGCCUAAACUAAAAUCUAACACUUCUUAAAAUGGCUAGGACAUACUCACAUUUCUAUCAGUAUUCUACUACAAUAUCAGGAAAACACAAGUAUUUCCUUGUCACAAAUAUCCUCCAGAAAGAGUGAUUCCUUAAUGAAGAGGGCUGGAGAACUUGAACUUAUGAGGUGUUGACUACCUAUUUUUUAGUAAUGUUUUCUAAAAUCUUUUAAAAUUUAGGCAGAUAAUAAUUUGCAUUCCUGUGUUAAUCUCAAGUUUUUUUACACUUUUUAUUUUUAGCAUUUUUUUUUUCUUUUUGUCUUUUUGUCUUUUCUAGGGCCACAUCCAUGGCAUUUGGAGGUUCCCAGGCUAGAGGUUUAAUCGGAGCUGGAGCUGUCAGCCUAGGCCAGAGCCACAGCAAUGCGGGAUCCGAGCCUGCGUCUGCGACCCACACCACAGCUCAUGGCAAUGCCAGAUCCUUAACCCAUUGAGCAAGGCCAGGGAUCAAACCCACAACCUCAUGGUUCCCAGUUGAAUUCGUUAACCACUGAGCCACGACGGGAACUCCCCUUUAGCAUUUCUUAAGAGUAUUUUUUUUUCUUCCUUUCCACAUCAAAUUUAAGUUCUCAUGGGCAUACUGUUUUCCUGACAGAGUGGUUGUGAACAAAUAGAUUUCUCUUAUUUUGCAUAUAGGAUUUCUUUUUUCUUGCUCUUUCCUUUUCCAUUUUCUUUUUCAUGAAUGCAAAGGAAUAGCCACAGAUUCUUGUGCUAUGAUUUAGGAGUCACUGAUGAUAUAAAGGAUUGCAUAUAUGUGUUUAAUGCAAAUUUUCAUUAUACCGUUAGGCCCUUAGGAACAAAACAUAGCAUUUUCCCAGAAAAAAAAGUGUAUCGUGAAGCUAACUUGAACUUGAGGAAUCCUACUUGCAAGGACCCCUUCAAAGACAUUAUGUAAUUUUAUAUUAUUCUUCUUGAGGACGGUUUCCAGAAAAAUAGGAGUUUCAGGAGGAACAAAACUUGGUUUAGUUGUUGUUUUUCCCCACAUCAAUGGAAAUAAGUCUUUAGUCUAUAGCCCCAGGGACAAAAGCAUUUUUAGUCCAAGAGUACUCUUCCUCCCUCACUGACUUUAAAGACAUUCCUCUGGUUUUCUUUAGCUGAAAUGUGCUAUCAUUGUUUUACAACAUUGUAAUAUGCUAAUUUUGAAGUUACUAUCUUUGUGUAAGGUAAUAAGUGAGUGAAAAACUCAAAUGCUAACAUCUGCUGUGGCAUUUCAGUUAUAAACCAAAUGUGUGUAUAAUAUUCUCUUUGGUAAGUGAAUUAACAUUUUCACAUAACCAUGAAAGAUAAAAUUUUAAUAAUCUCCCUUGGAGUUGUCUCUUUGAAGUCAUGUGCAAAAUAUUAAGUGAGAAUUCUAACAGAACACUCUUCCUCUUUCUUUCAAGAUUUUUGAAGUUUUCAAAGACAGAGUGUGAAUACCUUGUCGUCCCUCUCAGCUCACCUGGUGUUAUAGCCUUUUAGAGAGGCAGCAAUUUCCUUAGAGUAGAUCGAAGGCUACAAAGGAAUGCCUCUAAUUCCAGAGAACCUAAGGUUCUUGGUCAUUUGUUGGUACUGCUAAAUGGAAUACUACUUUUUCUCAGAUAUUUUUCAAUGCCUGGAAAACAUUCUAACUUUUUCUUUCAAUUAUCUUUUCAACCUCUUUAUGGUGGGUCACUCUCUCUUGGAAGAACAAAAAUUCCCACUAUUGUAUGCUAAUGUCUUAAUGAAAAGUAUUUGAUUUCUCACAUUACAUUAUCACUCCAACAUGUUGAUUUUAGUAAAAUGAAUCUGGCUUGGAUCUCAUCUAAAAAUGUUAAUAAUGGAAUGUUUGGGGACAUCAUCCCAUUUAAGGUCAGGCAGAAGGAACAAAGGAGGGGCCCUUGGGAAGAUCUCCUAACUUACAGCAUUCAGGGGGCAAGCAGGAGGUCUAAGCUGCUGGAGGCAAUAGCAAAAGUGAUAGGAGAUGAGGCCAGGAAAUAAGAAGAAAGGCAGACUGGAAGACAUUACAAGGCUUUGGGUAAAUCAGUAACAUAAUCAUGAUCAUAUUUUAGAAGGAUCACUGGGUACCUUGGAGGCUAGACCACACAAAAGCAAGCGUGGACAUAAAGGAAGCUGUUUAAUUAUUCCUGGUAAGAGAGAAGAAUGGCUUGAGGUAGGUAGUAGCUGUGGUGGAGUAAGAGGUAUUAUAUUUAUUACAUUUCUAAGCAAUAACCAACAGAAUUUGCCAAAAGACAGAGAGGGGUAAAUAAUGAAUACUACGUUUUCUGCCUAAAUACCUGGUUGAAUGGAUUUAUCACAUUCUGAGACAAGGAAAGCUGUAGGUUUAGGAAGUCUAAAUAGAAAAACAAGAGUUUGGAUCAAGGCAUGCAACUUUCAGAUACCUACUAGAUGUCUAAGAAAGAAACAGAGGAAACAUUUUGUUAAAUGAGAGUAGAGUUGAGGGGACAGGUCUAGAGCUGUGAAUUAAAUUGUCUCCAGCAUAAAGAUAGUAUAUAAAGCCAGAGGACUGCUGAUUACCUAGGGACUGAGCAUAAAUCUGGACUGAGCCAAGCCAACACUCUAGCACUGAGACAAUUUGAGGUUUACGUCAGUCAGUCUAUAGUGCUUAUUGCCAGACCUUCCUUUGUAAAAGGACUUCUCUGCUAAGUUUCUAACCUUGAUUCAUCUCCUAUUCAUUUGUAAUUCAACAUUUUUUUUUCUUCAGGAAAAGUAAACCAAGCCUUUUUUAUAGCUGAGAAAAUCUUUUGGGUGACUUGAUGAAUAAAUGAAUAUUUGGUUGAAUUUACAAUAUUACCAUUUAUAUGUGAUUUUUCUCAACUCCAUAAAAUUCUCUACAGAAUGAAAUUCUAAAAGCAACUAGAUUUUUAUUUCCCUGUAUAUAGUUGAUAUCUUCUGCUUGCAUGCUUGUAAGAUUCGCACAUACAUACAUAUAACUCACAGGCUAAAUAAUGCACCCCCAAAAGACAGGCACUUCCCAUUCCCCGAAACUUGUAAAUGUCACUUAAUAUUGCAUAAAAUAACUUUGCAGAAGUGAUUAAGUUGAAGAUCUUGAGGGGGCGGAUAAUAUUGGAUUAACCAGGUGCACAAUAAAUGCAAUCACAUGUAUCCUUAUAAAAGAAAGGCUGAGAGAGAUUGGACACACAGAAGAGGAAAAGGCAAUGUGACCACAAAGGCAAAGUUUGGAGUGAUGCCGUCACAAGCCGAGGAACACCUGCAGACAUUAGAAGAAAAGAGACAAGGAACAAAUUCUUCCCAGGACUGACACCUCGAUUUUGACACAAUUAAACUGAUUUCAAAUUCCUAAACCCCAGAACUGUGAAAGAAUAUGUUUCCAUUGUUUAAACCAUCAAGUUGGUAUUAAUGUAUUACAGCAGCCAAAAUAAACAAAUAUAUAUAUAUAUAUCACCAAGCUAUAUCUAAAUAGUGAUAGUUUUAUUUGGCUUUUUUUUUAACUUUAUUGAAGUAUAGUUGAUUUAUAACGUUUGGAUAUCUCUGCUGUACAAUAAAAUGAUUGUC
rnacentral:lncRNA from 1 species